ACCAGUCUGAUCAUUUUAUUUUUGUUUUAAGGGCCAGCAGGAAAAUUAAGGGGGAAAGAACAGUAUAGAGAAGGGGAUCGUUUUUGUUUGUUUGUUUGUUUGUUUUGUCAGAACAUUUCAAUCAACCAGAUAGUUUUUGACCUGGAAUUAUUUGUUUUGCAUCUUUAGAUUGUUUAUCUUCUUGUUUUCCCUUCUCGAUUGUGGGCUGAUUUAUAGGCAAAAAAUCGAAAAGAAGCCAGGAAGCUCAGCACAGAGCGCAUCAGACUGGAACCGUUCAGCCAAUGGAGGCUGCCCUCCUUUCUGGAGAUGUGGGGGCAAAUCUGCAUUUGUCAGAUGCAAACUGGAUUUCCUGCUCUCCACUUCACACACGCACUUCCAAAAGCCUCAUUUUCCAACAAAUUUACUGCUAUCUGGAACCAUCCCAGCUCUUCCUUUGCUGCUUCUGCCCCGAUGAGAUUUACCCAGUGGAAAGGCAUAGCCUGUUGUCCUCAAGGCACAGUGGCAGCAGACCUCAUGCUGGUCCUUCGAGGCAUUACGCAUGCUAUCACUGAGCUUGAGGAAAGC
ensembl:lncRNA